rnacentral:lncRNA from 1 species
AUGAACGUAAGUAUUUCGAAUGAGGCGAGAGGUAAAACAUGCGGCUGUCCUUUCUCGAGCUACUUUCAGAACACAGCUUGUAAGCCAUACGUAUCUCUGGCAGACCAGUUACAUUCCCCUCAAAAUAGGCAAAUUUCACAGACAAAAAAAAAAAUAGCACCUUAUGCUCGCAGCCGCACGACUCGCGGUUCCGCUGUUUUUUCACCACAGCGUCAACACUUUUCAGGCGACUCGCUCCGAGAACGACACGGAGUUUCACCGGGCAGGCGAAGGGUCGGGGGGAGCGCGGCCCCGCCAGGGCAGGAAGCGCCCUCCGCCCGCCCGUCCCGCCGCCUCACGGCGCCUCGCUGGAGUCACGAGUCGAGGAGUUUCGGGCACUUACGUAACGCCGCGGAGCCGCCACCGUUGUUGUUUCUCCUCUUUCCCGAAGACGAACUCGUUUCCGAGACCCCCCAACUCCCUCAGUGCCCUGGGACAAGCCAGCGCCCGCCAGCGCCGCUUCCUUUCCCAGGUCCUUCCCGCCCUGCCGCCUCCCUCCCUGCCGGAGGGACGCGGCGCUGCCCCAGCCCCAUGGUGGGACAGCGGAGCCCAGCGGAGCCCAGCGCCGCCUCCCGCCGGGGAGCUCCUUUCCCCCCUCUCCCAGGCAGCCCCCGGUUCCCAACAUGGCCGCGGGAGAGCGGCUGGAGUCCCGCUGGAGAAGGGCUCCGCGAGGAAAGUUUCCCUCUCACUCCCCGACCUAAGCCGGGGCGAGCCAAUCCGAGCCGCGGCAGUCCAGAACGCGGCCGCACGGUACUACUCACCCGGUACACCCCGCUCCGGCCGCCGCCUGCCCUGCUCGCCGCACGGCCGCGGUCAUACACCCCGCGCCGGGGGACGGGCUCCGGGACACCGCCCGGCGGGGCGGGGCCGCCGCCAUCUUGGGCGGGAAGGAAUAGCGCCUCAGCCCCGAGCCGCCCAGAGAGCCGCCCUGAGCGGGGACGGAGGGAGGGCAGGGGGCGGCUCGGCCGAUCCCGGCCCACGAGUGGCACCUCGUGGAAGAGGGAUACUCCAGGCACGAGACCUGCCUCGUGA